rnacentral:lncRNA from 1 species
AACUUUACAUGAAAUUUCACAUCGUUUAUUUCCUCGAAAUAAAGGACACCAUUUUCAAAGUUAUAGUCUUUUCAAGAUUAGCUUUUUCGUUUUCUCUUUUUUUUCCCUGAUGACAUUCUAUAUACUCCUUUUAGUGCAAGCUGGACCAUCUCUUCAAGGAUGAUACAUUUUCUGGUCAUCUCAAGAGCUUCUUUAGUACUGUGUGGGAUGCUUUUAUGUACAUGCUUGGACAGUCUUAUGUAUCUUUAGCUGGUACCUUGUUAUUGUUAGCAGCUGCUAUCGCAUUUGUACCUUCUAAAGUUUCUCGAAAAAGAAGGGCAAUAGUUGGAUUUCUUCAUGUUUCUGCACACUUGGCUGCAGCAAUAAUUCUCAUGAUGCUUUUAGAAGUUGGUGUUGAAACAUGUAUCAGGCAUAAACUAUUGGGAACAUCAGGUGCGCUUUAGUUUUAACUGAUUUCUUUUGAGUCAGAAAUCUUGUUUUCAUUAUCUACAACAUUAUUAUUUGAGCUUGUAUAUCUGCUGAAAUCAUGCUUCUUUACUGCAGCCAGGUUCUUGCUCUUCCAUGUCUUUUGUUGAAAUAUGGAUGUUAGCAUUGUGCAUUAAUAUUAUACAUAGUGAAGUCUUCUUCAUUCGUUUUUUUGUGCACAUGAAAUUAUAUUAUUAUUAAAGAUGAUAAUUUGAAUAAGGGAGGCCAUGACUAUGCCGCUAGGUUCAUAUUUUCUUUUCAUUCUUUUUGUUAUCUACUAUGGUUCUUAGUUUUGCCAUUCUUGGUUUUGUAUUACUUGUUUCACAGUCAUAUUCAUAAAAAUCCCAUGUUAGGAGGCCGUGGUUAUGUUUUUUUAUAAAUCGUCCUGAAUAUCUUUGUAAAGGGAAGUUAAUUGGUAAUUGGAUCUAGUUAUCUAGUCUCUGUGUUGGCAUAUACUUGUUUGAAUUUGUUCAAAACCAUGUCUAGUUUUUAUUUUGUUCGUAGACAUGUACUAAUAGUUAUGAUCUCAUUUCAGGUUAUCACACUUUAUAUGAAUGGUAUCGCACAGUUGAGAGUGAGCAUUUUCCAGACCCAACUGGCCUCCGUGCUCGUAUAGAACAGUGGACAUUUGGGCUGUAUCCAGCAUGUAUCAAGUAUCUUAUGUCUGCCUUUGAUGUUCCAGAGGUCCAAACUUCAUUUUAUAACUAUCUAUAUAAGGAUAUAUAUCCAGAAUUCUCAUUGUGUACUUGUUAUCUCUUGAAUCUACUAAAUUUGUGAGCACAAAUAGGUCAUGGCUGUCACAAGGAAUGAUAUGUGUAACAAUGGAUCCGAUUCAUUUUCCCGCGGUGGUGCUGUGAUAUAUUAUGCUUCCGUGUUCCUGUACUUUUGGUUCUUUACCACUCCUGUGGUUUCGUUGAUUUUUGGAAGCUAUUUGUACAUCUGUAUUAAUUGGUUGCAUCUGCACUUUGAUGAAGCCUUCUCUUCACUCCGUAUAGCCAAUUACAAAGCAUUUACACGCUUCCAUAUUAAGAAUAACGGCGAUCUUGAGGUUUUUACGCUUGCAGUUGACAAGGUAAAAAAAGCUCGCAUUAUAGUGCCUAUUUGUUUUUGAAGNAUGAAGCAUAAUGGGUCCUCUUUGAUUAUACAGAUUGGUUCGACGGACUUCAAACCUAUAUGAGGUACAUUUGUCAUAAAAGCUGGUUGGGCGGGUGGUUCAUGCCUCAGAAGAAGAGCUACUUUGCUAUGCAGCUACCGCAGAGAUGGUGGAUAUUUGGUCUUGAUUUAGCUCUGCACGGUGAUAUUGAUGUUUAUCAGUUCAAGUUCUUCUCUGAAUUGGUUAUGGACAAGGUUCCUCUCCUAAUGUUUUUGUUUAACAAAUGUUAUAUACUAUUCUUGUUUUUAAACAUUUUCCUUACAUGAUGCAAUACCUUUUUUAUUUCAUAUGCAUUAUGUUUAGUUUAAUAUUAUCGAGUUCGUGAAUUAAGUAUCUCUAUCUGGGUGCAAAUUAAGCAUCAGAAAAGAAAGUGUCAUCUUUGGUGUGUUUACUUUCCCUUUACGCAAUGAGCUUUUCUUCCAGGUUGGAGAGAAUGAUUCCGUGAUAAUUGUGACACAUGAACCUGGUUGGCUUCUUGAUUGGUACUGGGAUGAUGUGAGCGGGAAAAAUGUUUCACACCUGAUAUGUGACUAUUUGAAGGGUAGGUGUAAACUCCGGAUGGCUGGAGACUUGCAUCAUUUUAUGCGACACUCAUAUGUUCCAUCUGAUAAACCAGCUCAUGUGCAACAUUUACUUGUCAAUGGUUCUGGUGGAGCUUUUUUGCAUCCUACUCAUGUAUUCAGUAGUUUCAAUAAAUUAUAUGGAACUUCGUAUAAGUUUGAAGCAGCCUAUCCUUCUUGUGAAGAUUCAAGUAGGGUAUGUUACUAAAUUUUACUGCCGGAUACUUUCUUAAUUUCUAUUUCUAAUGUAAUCAAGUGAUGUUUAAGGGGCUUAUAUAUUAUUUGUUGCAGAUUGCACUGGGAAACAUAUUGAAAUUCCGAAAGAAAAAUUGGCAGUUUGAUUUCAUUGGUGGUAUCAUAUACUUUGUCUUAGCGUUUUCUAUGUUCCCACAGGCGAGUUACUUAACUUUGUUACAACAAAUAUUUUGAUCUUGCUUCAGACAAUUAGGAUGUUCUUUAUGCUUGCAAACUUUACAUGAAAUUUCACAUCGUUUAUUUCCUCGAAAUAAAGGACACCAUUUUCAAAGUUAUAGUCUUUUCAAGAUUAGCUUUUUCGUUUUCUCUUUUUUUUCCCUGAUGACAUUCUAUAUACUCCUUUUAGUGCAAGCUGGACCAUCUCUUCAAGGAUGAUACAUUUUCUGGUCAUCUCAAGAGCUUCUUUAGUACUGUGUGGGAUGCUUUUAUGUACAUGCUUGGACAGUCUUAUGUAUCUUUAGCUGGUACCUUGUUAUUGUUAGCAGCUGCUAUCGCAUUUGUACCUUCUAAAGUUUCUCGAAAAAGAAGGGCAAUAGUUGGAUUUCUUCAUGUUUCUGCACACUUGGCUGCAGCAAUAAUUCUCAUGAUGCUUUUAGAAGUUGGUGUUGAAACAUGUAUCAGGCAUAAACUAUUGGGAACAUCAGGUGCGCUUUAGUUUUAACUGAUUUCUUUUGAGUCAGAAAUCUUGUUUUCAUUAUCUACAACAUUAUUAUUUGAGCUUGUAUAUCUGCUGAA